rnacentral:rRNA from 1 species
UAAUACGUAGGUGGCGAGCGUUAUCCGGAUUUACUGGGCGUAAAGAGGGCGCAGGCGGCUUUUUAAGUCGAAUGUAAAAUCUCCUAGCUUAACUGGGAGGGAUCAUUCGAUACUGUUAAGCUAGAGUGCAACAGGGGGAGGUAGAAUUCCCGGUGUAGUGGUGAAAUGCGUAGAUAUCGGGAGGAAUACCAGUAGCGAAGGCGGCCUCCUGGGUUGUUACUGACGCUUAUGCCCGAAGGCGUGGGGAGCAAACAGGAUUAGAUACCCUGGUAGUCCACGCUGUAAACGAUGGACACUGGGUAUAGGGAGUAUCGACCCUCUCUGUGCCGAAGCUAACGCGUUAAGUGUCCCGCCUGGGAACUACGGCCGCAAGGCUA